UCAUUGCUGUUGUUGUUGUUGUUGCUGCUGUUGCUGCUAGUGCACAUCUUUCCUUGCACGACUUGCCGCUGCGCAUGCGCCGUCUGUUAAGGCGCAACAAAAGGUAACCGCGUCUUACCUGCGACAACGCCAAAUGGCUGCGGCGAGACUGCGCGAGAUUUCGCGUGAUUAAGUCGCACGACGCCUUCCGUUUCUGGAGGACGUGGCAUUUUGUCUCCGCCAGAGGGAGCUGUGGAGCAGACAACAGUCGGCCGACACAAAAGGAAACAGCAGAGACCGCCACAUCGCGGAGCGGCCAGAACAAAAGAAUCCCCAUCCACACCUUUGUCCAGGUGGCGGCCUUGGUGCAGCAAAGGGAGAGCAAUAGUAGACUGGAUUGAACAAAGAACAAGCACAGACCACUCUUCCACAAGCUCGCCCAUGAAAGGAUGUCUGAGGUGAACACCGGCUAAAAACAUGAUGACAUUUAUAUGGGAGAUAAGACAGCUCAUCUUCCGAACGGAUCGUUUUUUUAUGAGUAACAUCUGCACUGAGACGCGGUUCUUGUCUCCUACCCGUAUACAACCCUGGCACUGAAAUACGAAAUCUUCACCGUACGUGAAUGUGGAGCUGUUGGAAAGUGAGAAAGUACAUCCCCGCAGUGCCUUGCCACGGACGCACUGUAAAUACGGCAGGUAGAGACUUCUGAGGGACUUAAUGCUCGGCAACCGGCGGAGGAAUACGGCGCAGGAUCAUCAAGUUUUGUGACACCACAUGAACACCAAGGCACAGGGUGACGUAAUCCAAAGGGAACAAGGGGAGGUGAUCGAUAAAAGAAAAGAAAGAGGACUCACAGCAACAACAGCCACAACAACAACAACAACAACAACAACAACAACAACAAAGGACAAGCGGGGAGAAGGAUGUAAAGGAAGUUAGUCCACCGUCUGCUUGCAGAAGGGUCUUGUCGAAGGUACACAGA